GGAACUUUGAGAAAAAAUGUCAUAAUUUUGACCCGUCAAGCCCACCACCAUGUAAAGCUGAAUUAUAUUAGCAUUUACAACGGUUCGUUAUGUAACAAAUUUGUGGAGAAAUGCUUAUUUGAAACAUCCAACAUCCUCAUCACCUCAAGCUUCCGGCUGGACUAUAAAUGACGAUAAAUACGAUUUUGUCUGGUUUGUUGGGGAGCAGUUACCAUCAUUAGUUGCCGACAUUAUUAUUAAAGAUAAUAAUUUAUUAGAGGAUGAUUCAAAAUUCAAAAGACGAUGAUGACAACGAAGACAAUGAAAAUGACAGCAGUGAUGAAGAUGAUGAUGACGAUUAUCAGGAUGCCUCCGUUUUUUGUGAUACAAUAAUUAAUUAAAAAAUCUAUCCGCAACUUUUAUACAACCAUCAGAGUUUUCAUUUAUUUUCAUACCUGAGAUUAAUCAAUUUCUUAACUUUGUACUACAAUAAAUUAUUAUUUUCAUAUCGUA